ACUGCUCGCCCUCCUCUGUCUCUGCCCGACGCUGCUCGCCCUCGACGAGUUCCUCUCUGGCAAGACCUACAUCUUCGAGUAACGCUUCCUCGACGAAUCGGGCGAUCACCUUCUCGAAUCUCCACACGGAGCCGGGCCUCAAGUCCCUCGACGAGUUCCUCUCCGGCAAGACCUACAUCUCCGGAAAUCAGCUCACGAAGGAGGAAGGACGACAUCAAAGGCGUCAUUUUAUUACUAUUCUAUUGAGGGGAUGAAAGUUGUGUGCCACAAACUGGAGCAAGCCACUAAUGAUCCAGAUGGCAGUGGUAUGAAGGAUCUUGUGAAGGUCUCGGAUAAACUUGUUUUAUCCUUGGCAGAUAAGGUUGCCAAGACAUUUGACUUCAGCUUAACAGGAGCUUCGUCAAGGUCAUGCAAGUAUGUUUUGAAUACCCUCAUGCAGACAUUUCAAAACAGACAACUUGCGCAUGCUGUCAAGGAGGGCUCUCUUGACCGCCUUAUUACUGAGCUUCUACUUAGACUUUUGGAUGAAAGAGUGCCACGCAUGGAUGAUGGAAGCCAACUUUUGAAAGCUCUGAAUGUAUUGAUGCUUAAAAUUCUGGUAAUUUUAACAAUAUUAGCUGCAUUGACAAAGACUGGUUUCAUGAUGGCAGAUCUGACUGUGGACAUCAGGCUUUAUUGGUUCUUGGAUUUUUUCCAGAGGCUAUUGCAGCAUUGAUUGAAGCGUUGCGCUCAGUCAAGGAGUCGGAGCCCACUGCAAAGAGUGGCGGAGCUUCACCCCUGGAUGUUGCGAUUUUUCAUUCAACAGCAGAGAUUUUUGAAAUCAUUGUUACUGAUUCCACAGCAUCUUCUCUGGGCUCCUGGAUUGAAUGUGCAGUCGAACUUCAUGGAGCUUUACAUUCCUCGUCCCCAGGGUCAACUAGAAAAUACACUCCCACACGAUUUUUGGAAUGGAUAGAUGCUGGUGUAGUUUUACUGUUGAAGCUUGUUUUACUGCCAAAUUCCAGUGUGGCCAUCUUCAGUCACUAUAUUACAAGAUGAAUUAGAUUACACUUGAUUAUUACACUUGAAAGUGGAGGCAUGUAUCAGAUUCGAGAAGCAAACCAAAUGGUGGAGGAGUUCAUGCUUGCCGCCAAUGUUUCAGUUGCUGAAAAAAUCUUUAAACACUAUCCUCUAUGUUCUCUGUUGAGGCGGCAUCCUACACCAACAAAAGAGAUGCUCGAACCCUUGCUGCGUACAUCUGCUUCUGUUGGUCUUGCGUUGGACGUAUCUUCAUCAAAAGCACUGGCUGAUUCACUUGACCGUGCAGUGGGAGAAGAUCCAUAUUUUAACAAAUUGAUACGAAUACUUGCAACUAGAUGCAUGACACAGGCAGUAUAUUUCUGUAGUGGAGACUUGACUUCGCCAGAAUACCAACAUUAUGGGCUGGCUGCCCCAUUAUAUACUCAUUUUACUUCAUCUAUCAGGCGAUAUGCUGAUGUCAUUGUGCACAGGUUGCUUGCUGCAUCAUUAGGAAUUUACAAGCUUCCAACCAUACUUCAAGACAGACCCCAGUUAUUGCUGCAUUCAUUUUCAUUUUUUUAAAUUAAAAAUGAAAAAAAAAAAA